rnacentral:tRNA from 1 species
GCAACCUUGCCAAGGUUGAGGUCGCGAGUUCGAGACUCGUUUCCCGCUCCA